rnacentral:rRNA from 1 species
CCUACGGGUGGCAGCAGUGGGGGAUAUUGCACAAUGGGGGAAACCCUGAUGCAGCGACGCCGCGUGGGCGAAGAAGUAUUUCGGUAUGUAAAGCCCUAUCAGCAGGGAAGAAGAAAUGACGGUACCUGAGUAAGAAGCACCGGCUAAAUACGUGCCAGCAGCCGCGGUAAUACGUAGGGUGCAAGCGUUAUCCGGAUUUACUGGGGGUAAAGGGAGCGCAGGCGGCACGGCAAGCCUGAUGUGAAAGCCCGCGGCCCAACCGCGGGACUGCAUUGGGAACUACCGGGCUGGAGUGCCGGAGAGGUAGGCGGAAUUCCUAGUGUAGCGGUGAAAUGCGUAGAUAUUAGAAGGAACACCAAUAGCGUAGGCAGGUUGCUGGGACGGUUCUGACACUAAGGCACGAAAGCGUAGGGAGCAAACGGGAUUAGAUACCCGAGUAGUC